GACGAACCGUGCGAACGUUAUUCGGAAUCACUGGGCUUAAAGCGCGUGUAGGCGGGCCGCCACGUCGGGCGCUGAAAUCCCCCGGCUCAACCGGGGAAGUGGCACCGAUACGAGCGGCCUGGAGGGGAGUAGGGGGGCCUGGAACUUCCGGUGGAGCGGUGAAAUGCGUUGAGAUCGGAAGGAACGCCCGUGGCGAAAGCGAGGCCCUGGACUCUUUCUGACGCUGAGACGCGAAAGCCAGGGGAGCGAACGGG
rnacentral:rRNA from 1 species